CAUGCAAGUCGAACGGGAAACUUUUCAUUGAAGCUUCGGCAGAUUUGGUCUGUUUCUAGUGGCGGACGGGUGAGUAACGCGUGGGUAACCUGCCUUAUACAGGGGGAUAACAACCAGAAAUGGUUGCUAAUACCGCAUAAGCGCACAGGACCGCAUGGUCCGGUGUGAAAAACUCCGGUGGUAUAAGAUGGACCCGCGUUGGAUUAGCUAGUUGGCAGGGUAACGGCCUACCAAGGCGACGAUCCAUAGCCGGCCUGAGAGGGUGAACGGCCACAUUGGGACUGAGACACGGCCCAGACUCCUACGGGAGGCAGCAGUGGGGAAUAUUGCACAAUGGGGGAAACCCUGAUGCAGCGACGCCGCGUGAAGGAAGAAGUAUCUCGGUAUGUAAACUUCUAUCAGCAGGGAAGAUAGUGACGGUACCUGACUAAGAAGCCCCGGCUAACUACGUGCCAGCAGCCGCGGUAAUACGUAGGGGGCAAGCGUUAUCCGGAUUUACUGGGUGUAAAGGGAGCGUAGACGGACUGGCAAGUCUGAUGUGAAAGGCGGGGGCUCAACCCCUGGACUGCAUUGGAAACUGUUAGUCUUGAGUGCCCGAGAGGUAAGCGGAAUUCCUAGUGUAGCGGUGAAAUGCGUAGAUAUUAGGAGGAACACCAGUGGCGAAGGCGGCUUACUGGACGGUAA
rnacentral:rRNA from 1 species